GGUCCUCUGCCUCUUUCACAGAUGUCUUAAAGGGCCUUACAAAGCUUCUUGCAUGUGGGCUCUUGGCCCUGCUGAAGCAGGAGCUGCCUGCAGGCAGAAUAACCUCCUCUUGGACAGCUGGAUGAAGACAUCACUCAUCAAGCAUCAGCCCUCUCCAGGGUCACAAAGUGAAAUGGGAGAGCACAAGAAAGGAUUUACGUGAAUGUGAAGGACACUAGUUCAGGAGGUCCUACCAGCAUUUGCAGCCCAUGGGGGCAGGUCCCCUUCAGCAUCGGUGGUAGGAUUAGCCAUUUGGUCUCCAGGUCUUCAGGC
rnacentral:lncRNA from 1 species